rnacentral:lncRNA from 1 species
CUUUAAGAAUGUUUCAAAUAGAUUUUGUUGAAUAAUUUUCUAGUAGUGUUUUAAUGACUGAUAACAAUAUAAUUGAAAAUCGGUUUAACUAGUGAUCCGAUGACCCAGUGCCUUGGUUGGGUGAAUGUCUGGGCCGGUUCUGAUAAGUAUGAUGGUGUACACCUAUUAUUUGUUGUGAAGAUUUUUUUAUAGUGGCAGCAUUUUCUCUUAAUUGGUAUUAUAUUGAAUUUUUGUGAGGAAUUUUUUCUUUAUCUUUCCUUUUUAGGUCAUUAUAGCCCCUGUUUGGCCCUCAUUAAAUUACAUUUUAUUUUUCUCUUUUAUAUUUUCAAUCACACAAUCUUCCUUAAAAUAAUACUACACGUAAAUUAAAAUCAUUUAUUCUUUUUCAAACCACUCAUUUUUAAAAAAUUAGUAUUCCACCCAUUUUUAUUUCAAAAAAUGGGGGCCAAACGGGAGUAUAAUUUUUUCUUGUGCUUUUGAUGGAAGAUGAAUUAGCCUAGGCACAACUCAGGUCACACCAUAAGGCAUGCAGUAGGAAAUAUAUUUGUUUUCAUUUGAGUUUAUGAAUCUUAUGUCAAGCUCAGUUGAGGUAGAUUAUUUAAGACCCUCUUAAAUAGGAAGUUUUCUAUUUUUGAAGCAAAGGUUGAACCGAGGAGUAAGAUGUUAGUCUGAGUAUUAAGCUCUCGUUUGAGCCCUUUUUUGGCCAAAAUGCAUUCUUCAAUAGUUAUUUGACCUCAUUUCAAUAACACAUUUUUCAAUAAAAUAAUAUUACACGUAAACUUAAAACUUUUUCUUAUUUUUUAACCACACAUUAUUUAUCAUAACAUUAUUUCAAAAUGCAUUUUUUGAAAAAAAAAAAAUGGGGCUCAAACAACCUAUAAAAUGUAGAAUGAUUGAUCAAGAUUUUGUUUUCAGGCUGAAUAUAAAUUUUAAAUUGCUAGCUUCUUGUGCUGGACAAAUGCAAAAUAAAAUGGAACCUUAAGUUUUGUGCUUGGUGAAUUAUGGUAAAUUUCAGAUGGGGACGAUCCUAGUGCUUCUUGUGGAUGGGAAGCAUAGCCUGAAAGGAGCACCAUGGAUUAUAAAUUUUUGGCUUUUAUGUGUAUGUAUAUGACUCUUGUUGGUUAUCAUGUGGUAUACGGUGGUGGAUUUAAAUUUGUUAACUACAGGUGUAUUUUUUGGUUCCACAUGAUUAGGGGUGGGCGUGGGUCAGGUCGGUUUUUCCCAACCCAAAUCUAACCCAACAUGGUCGGUUUGAUCGAAAAUUAAUCCAACCCAACCCAACCCAAUUAUUGAUUUAAACCCAACUCAACCCAAACCGAUCAAGUUUGGGUCGGUUUGGAUUCGGUUGGUUGGUUUGGGCUUCGGCCCACUUAAAGUUGGAUCCGGUUUACUUUUUAAAUUUGAAUAAUUUUUUAGAGUUGGAAAUUACUUGAACACCUCCGUUUUUUUAACACAUAUACAACAAAUUCUUUCUAAAAAUAAUGUAUAAAUAAGUUUAAAAUUUAUGAAGAAUUUUCUUUUUUACAAUUUUUUGAAAUUUAUUCAUUUUAUCAUCAUGUCUAUAAUUUUUACUUUAUCGUCAAAUAACACUGCAUUUGUACAUAGUGUUCACGUGAAUCGGUCCAUGUGAAGAAAUUGACAUUUAUAAAUUAUAUACUAUUAUGUCUAUUUAAAUUAUUUUUUCAUCUUAGAUAUUAAUUUUUUAAUUCAUCGCUGGAGUGGGUUGGAUUGGGUUUUAACUCAUAAGCUGAGACCCAACCUAACCCAACUUCAAAUUCAAUUUUUCAACCCAACCCAAUUGAAAUUAAAAAACUAACCCAAAUCGAUCGGUUCGGUUUGGGUUGGUCGGUUGAGGGGUUUGGAUUGGGCCCUACAUAUGAUAACUAAGUGCAAAGUCUUAGAUUUACAAGAAAGCAGCUUUGCUUCUUUAUUCUCUUUAUUUGUGUCGCUCUCAGUGAGAUUUUGUUGAUACUUACUCUUAAUGUUUUCAUGUUUCAAAUUUGCUCAAUUUUUUAUUUCACCUUAGGUGAAAGCUAAAGCUAUGCACCUUGAGGUAUUAUAUGUGGAUUCAGAUUCCAUCAUCUUUCCUGUCUUAGUGGUUUCAUAAAUUUACUCUAAAUAGAUCGUUAAUUAUUAUCGCUGCUGGCUCGAAGCUGAAUGUUCUAUUAACAUGUAACAAUUUGGGUCAAAAUUUAAUCAGGUUUUACAAGAUGAUUUCUCGCGCCUGCAACAACUGCAGUGCCAUACAUCUAUCUCUUGCUAUCCUUUCAAUAGACUCAUUAGGGGUAUGUUUAUUUGUUCUGUGUUUGCUCUACUUCUCGUAGGGAACGAGAAGAGCAUGAGUGAUACUAUAGAGAAAGACAUUCAUUUACAAGAGCAUAUUAUGAAAUUAGGGAAUGAUUAUAGUCAUGGUGAAUUGAUGAAAUUAGUUGUCAUUAGAGGAAUUAAGUUUUUUUUAUUUAUACAUUAAUAAGAAAAUAGAUAGAUGUGAAAGGUUUUUGACUGACCAUGUAGUUAAAAUUUGUUAUACCUCAUAGGAGGAAUGAAGAGAAAUCACAAGGUUGAGCUGUGAGGUUGAAUUACCCGGUAACUACAUUCUAGCGAACUCCACCAUUUUAUUUUGAAGAAAAAGCAUUCAAUCAAUAUAACAAAUUUUAACUACAUGGCCAACCAAAAACUAUUCACAUCAAUCCAUUUUCUUAUUAAUGUGUGAAUAAAAAAACUUAAUUCUUCCAAUGACAAUUAACUUCAUCAAUUCACCAUGAUAAUAAUUAUUGUAUAAUUUCAUAUUACGCUCCUGUAAAUGAAUGCCCUUCUCUAUAGUAUCAUUCAGGCUCCUCUCAUUCCUUAUGAGAAGUAGAGCAAACACAGCACAAAGUAACAUAACCCUAAUGAGUUUAUUGAAAUGAUGAUCAGAUGCAGAUAUAUGACACUGCAGUUGUUGUAAACGCGAGAAAUCAUCUUGUAGAAGCUGAUUAAAUUUUGACCCAAAUUGUUCAAUGUUAAUAGAACAUUCAAUUUCGAGCCAGCAGCAAUAAUAAUUAACGAUCUAUUACAAGAUGAUUUCUCACGUCUGCAAUAACUGCAGUGCUAUACAUCUGUCUCUGAUCAUCCUUCAAUAGAUUUGUUAGUGAUAUGUUUGGUUGUAUUGUGUUUGCUCUACUUCUUGUAGGGAAUGAGAAGAAUCUGAGUAAUGCUAUAAAGAAGGACAUUUAUUUGUAAGGGCAUAUUAUGAAAUUAUACAAUAAUUAUUCAUGGUGAAUUGAUGAAGUUAGUUGUCAUUUGAGGAAUUAAGUUUUUUAUUCAUACAUUAAUAAAAAAUGGAUAGAUUUGAAAGGUUUUUGGCCGGUCAUAUAGUUGACAUUUAUUAUUGUGUGGUAUAGGGUGGUGGAUUUAUUAGUUAUCAUGUGGUAUAGGGUUGUGGAUUUAAAUUUGUUAACUACAGGUGUAUUUUCUGGUUCCACAUGAUAACUAAUUGGCAAAGUCUUAGAUUUACAAAAAAGCAACUUUGCUUCUUUAUCCUCUUUAAUUGUGUUGCUCCUAGUGAAAUAAGGGAAUGAUUUUUAUUCAUUCCCUAAUAGAAGGAAUGAAGAGAAAUCACAAGGUUGUGCCUGUGAGGUUAAAUCACCAGAUAACUACAUUCUAGCGAACUUCGACAUUUUAUUUUUGAGAAAAGCAUUCAAUCAAUAUAACAAAUUUCAACUAUAUGGUCAGCCAAAAACUUUUCACAUCUAUCAAUUUCUUAUUAAUGUAUGAAUAAAAAAUUUUAAUUCCUCCAAUGACAACUAAUUUCAUCAAUUCACCAUGAUAAUAAUCAUUGUAUAAUUUCAUAAUAUGUUCCUGUAAAUGAAUGCCUUCUCUAUAACAUCAUUCAGGCUCUUCUCAUUCCCUACGCAAAGUGGAGCAAACACAACACAAAGAAGCAUACCCUUAAUGAGUCUAUUGAAAGGAUGAUCAGAGGUAGAUGUAUGGCACUGCAGUUGUUGCAGACGCGAGAAAUCAUAGUGCAAAAGUUGAUUAAAAUUUUGACCCAAAUUGUUACAUGUUAAUAGAACAUUCAACUUCAAGCCAGCAGCGAUAAUAAUUAACGAUCUAUUACAAGACGAUUUCUCGUGUUUGCAACAAUUACAGUGUCAUACAUUUGUAUUUGGUCAUCCUUUCAAUAGACUUAUUAAGGGUAUGUUUCUUUGUACUGUGUUUGCUUUACUUUUUGAAGGAAAUGAGAAGAGCCUGCUAUAGAGAAGGGCAUUUAUUUACAGGGACAUUAUGAAAUUAUACAAUGAUUAUUAUCAUGGUGAAUUGAUGAAAGUUGUCAUUGGAGGAAUUAAGUUUGUUAUUCAUACAUUAAAAAAAAAUGGAUAGAUUUGAAUGGUUUUUUGCGGGUCAUGUAGUUGAAAUUUGUUAUGCUUCAUAGAAAGAAUGAAGAGAAAUUACAAAGUUGAGCUGUGAGGUUGAAUCACCUGGUAACUACAUUCUAGUGAACUCCCACAUUUUAUUUCGAAAAAAAAGCAUUCAAUCAAUAUAGUAAAUUUCAACUACAUGGUCAGCCAAAACCUUUCACAUCUAUAAAUUUUCUUAUUAAUGCAGGAAUAAAAAAAUUUAAUUUCUCCAAUGACAACUAAUUCAUCAAUUCACCAUGAUAAUGAUCAUUGUAUAAUUUCAAAAUAUGUCCCUGUAAAUGAAUGUCCUUCUUUAUAGCAUCACUCAGGCUCUUUUCAUUUCCUUCAAGAAGUAGAGCAAAUAUAGUACAAAGAAACACUUUUAAUGAGUCUUGUAAUAGAUCGUUAAUGAGUCUUGUUGCAUUCGCGAAAAAUCAUCUUGUAAUAGAUCGUUAAUUAUUAUUGCUGCUGGCUGGAAGUUGAAUGAUCUAUUAACAUGUAACAAUUUGGAUCAAAAUUUAAUCAACUUUUACAAGAUCACUCGCGUCUGCAACAACUGCAGUAUUAUACAUGUUCCUCAGGUCAUCCUUUCAAUAGACUCAUUAGGGGUAUGUUUAUUUUGUACAGUGUUUGUUCCGCUUCUCGUAGGGAAUGAUAAGAGCCCGAAUGAUGUUAUAAAGAAUGACAUUUAUUUAAAGAAGCAUAUUAUGAAAUUAUACAAUUAUUAUUAUAGUGAAUUGAUGAAGCUAGUUGUUAUUUAAGAAAUUAAGUUUUUUAUUCAUACAUUAAUAAAAAAAAAUGGAAAAAUGUGAAAGGUUUUUAGCUAGCCAUGUAAUUGAAAUUUGCUCUAUUGAUUGAAUGUUUCUUCUUCGAAAUAAAAUAUGGGAGUUUGCUAGAAUGUAGUUAGCUGAUGAUACAACCUCACAGCUCAACUUUAUGAUUUCUCUUCAUUUCUUCUAAGAAGUAUAACAAAUUUCAACUACAUGACCAACCAAAAGCCUUUCAAAUCUCUCUAUUUUCUUAUUAGUGCAUGAAUGAAAAUCUUAAUUUCUCCAAUAACAACUAAUUUCAUCAAUUCACCAUAAUAAUAAUCAUUGUAUAAUUUCAUAAUAUGCUCCUAUAAAUUAAUGCCCUUCUCUAUGGCAUCACUUAGGCUCUUUUCAUUCCCUACGAGAAGCAGAGCAAACACAAUAUAAUGAAACAUAUCAAUAAUGAGUAUAUUGAAAGGAUGACUAGAGGCAGAUGUAUGGCACUGCAGUUGUUGCAGACUUGAAAAAUCUUGUAAAAGCUGAUUAAAUUUUGACCCAAAUUAUUACAUGUUAAUAGAACAUUCAACUUUUAGUCAGCAGCGAUAAUAAUUAACAAUCUAUUAUAAGACGAUUUCUCGCGACUGCAACAAUUGUAGUGCCAUACAUCUGCCUCUGGUCAUCCUUUUAAUAAUCUUUAGGGGUAUGUUUCUUUGUACUGUAUUUGCUCUAUUUUUCAUAGGGAAUGAGAAGAGCUUGAGUGAUGCUAUAGAGAAGGGAUUUCAUUCACAGAGGCAUAUUAUGAAAUUGUGCAAUGAUUAUUAUCAUGGUGAAUUGAUGAAGUUAGUUAUUGAAAGAAUUAAAUUUUUUAUUCAUACGUUAAUAAGAAAAUGAAUAGAUUUGAAAGGUUUUUGGUUGGUGAUGUAGUUGAAAUUUGAUAUACUUCAUAGAAGGAAUGAAGAGAAAUCACAAGGUUGAGCUGUGAGAUUGAAUCACCUUGUAACUACAUUCUAGCGAACUCCCACAUUUUAUUCGGAGAAAAACCAUUCAAUCAAUAUAGCAAAUUUUAAUUACAUGGCCAACCUAAAACCUUUCACAUCUAUCCAUUUUCUUAUUAAUUUAUGAGUAAAAACUUAAUUUUUCCAAUGACAACUAAUUUCAUCAAUUCACCAUAGUAAUAAUCAUUAUAUAAUUUCAUAAUAUGCUCCUGUAAAUGAAUGCCCUUCUCUAUAGCAUCACUCAGGCUCUUUUCGUUCCCUACGAGAAUCAGAGCAAACACAGGACAAAGAAACAUACCAAUAAUGAGUAUUGGAAGGAUGAUUAGAGGUAGAUGUGUGGCACUGUAAUUGUUGUAGACGCGAGAAAUUCUAUAGAAGCUGAUUAAAUUUUGACCCAAAUUGUUACAUGUUAAUAGAACAUCGACUUCUAGCCAGCAGCGAUAAUAAUUAACAAUCUAUUACAAAAUGAUUUCUCGCGACUGCAACAACUAAAUUGUCAUAUAUCUGCUUGUGGUCAUCCUUUCAAUAUAUUCUUUAGUGUUAUGUUUCUUUAUACUGUGUUUGCUCUAUUUUUCGUAGGGACUGAGAAAAGCCUGAGUGAUGCUAUAAAUGAGGAUAUUCAUUCACAAGAGCAUAUUAUGAAAUUAGACAAUUAUUAUUAUCAUGGUGAAUUGAUGAAGUUAGUUGUCAUUGGAGGAAUAAAGUUUUUUUAAUCAUACAUUAAUAAGAAAAUAGAUCGAUGUGAAAGGUUUUUGGCUGAUCAUGUGGUUAAAAUUUGUUAUAUUGAUUAAAUGCUUUUUCUUCAAAAUAAAAUGUGGGAGUUCGUUAGAAUGUAGUUACCUGGUGAUUCGACCUCACAGCUCAACGUUGUGAUUUCUCUUCAAUGCAUCUAUGAAGUAUAACAAAUUUCAACUACAUGAUCGGCCAAAAACCUUUCACAUCUAUUCAUUUUCUUAUUAAUGUAUGAUUAAAGAACUUUAUUCCUCCAAUGACAACUAAUUUCUUCAAUUCACCAUGAUAAUAAUGAUUGUAUAAUUUCGUAAUAUACUCCUGCAAAUGAAUGUCCUUCUCUAUAGUAUCACUCAGUCUAUUCUCGUUCCCUAAAAAAAAUAAAGCAAACACAGUACAAAGAAACAUAUCCCUAAAGAGUCUAUUGAAAGGAUGACCAGGGGUAGAUGUAUAGUACUGCAGUUGUUGUAGUCGCGAGAUAUCAUCUUGUAAUAGAUCGUUAAUUAUUAUUGCUGCUGGCUCGAAGUUGAAUGUUCUAUUAACAUGUAACAAUUUGGGUCAAAAUUUAAUCGGCUUUUUCAAGAUUUCUCACGUGUGCAACAACUGCAGUGUCAUACAUCUACCUCUGAUCAUCCUUUCAAUAGAUUCAUUAUGGGUAUGUUUCUUUGUACGUUGUUUGCUCUACUUCUCGUAGGGAAUGAGAAGAGCCUGACUGAUGCUAUAGAGAAAGGUAUUCAUUUACAGAAGUAUAUUAUGAAAUUAUACAAUGAUUAUUAUCAUGGUGAAUUGAUGAAGUUAGUUGUCGUUAGAGGAAUUAAGUUUUUUAUUCACCAACUCAUGGAAUUUAUAGAUGGAAGAUUUGAAGAGGGUAGUUAGCCUUCAUAGUGUAAUGGCUUCAUAAGAUGCAAUUAUUUUCACGGUUAUGGUUUUGAGCAUUUUCGGUUUUUGUGUGCUUGUCCUAUCACAUUUAGAGAUAUGAGAAAUGCAAUUAGCUGUUGAAUUUGUUUAACGUUACAACAAAACCUUCGGUAUGGUUUUGUGCUUGUUUAAACAGGUGGUUGUACUUGAAAAUUAGAGUACAUCGGGAGAUGAUUAAACCAAUAUGGUGGAAAAUAAUUCAGAUGAGUACGAGACCACUGUUGCUUUUGUUUUUAGAAGUUUGAGUUAUCUCGAGACACCAUAGUAUUUCAUGAAAGGAAACAAACAAUAUAUUUGUGCUAAUACUUGAUUUAUUCUUUGAUUUUGUGCAAGGUCUAUGCCCCCACAACAUUGGCAUAACCAUGAAUGGACCUCAUACAAGGUAGAGCCUCAAACUUAUUGUCCAUUAUUAUUCAUGUGCACUAAUUUUGUUGAAUUGUUUAAAAAAGUGGAUUGAAAAUGGGAUAUAUAUUUCGAGCUAAUGUUUGUUAUUUUUUAAAUGCAUUUUUUGGAAUUAUUUUGUUGGUUGAUAUGGAGUCUUACUUCUCACUGCACCUCAAGGUUUAAACCUCUAAAAUGCCUCGCUAUCUAAAUGAGCCUUUUUUAAAAAUUAGAGCUGUGAGAAAGGCCUGGAGCUUUCCUUUUUCAUUGUUAUUUUUAUGGGAAAAAAUAAAACAAAAAAUUGAAACUGUCAGGUUGGGUGGCCUGACUUGUUUGAUAGCUUGAACUUUCUCAUUGAAGUUUAAAAAGUUUCAUGUCACUGAGAUGGCUGACUUUGUGCAGAGUAAUUCACCAUGUAUUACAAGAUUGGUGCAAAGUUUGGCACACGAUGGUUUACAUUUGAUCAUUGAAGUUCAAAAAGUUUCAUGUCACUAACAUGGCUGACUUUGUGCAGAGUAGUAAUUCACCAUGUAUGCAUCCUUCUUGUUGAUUCGUAUGAUUGGAGCAACGUUUGGGCAUAUGAUGGUUUACACUUGAUCGUUGAACUUUAGGUAAAUUUCAUGGAGACAAUAUUUUUGCUGAUGCCUUGACUUUGCUACUAAGGAAAUUAACCCGCCUUUGAUUUUAUAAAAGAAAGUUGCCUUUGAUUUUAUAAAAGAAAGUUAAAAGUUAUCUUCUAUAAAAUUUAGCUUCCUUAUUUUAGGUUCUAUUUUAUUUUUUGAGUUUUAGUCAUAUCUUUGUGGCAUCCACGUUACACUAGCUUUGAUUACACUUUGGGAAUCUAUUCACUUUGAUAGCAUUACAAUAUCCACUCAAUGAGGGGGAAUUCACUUUCUACUGGAUCGACACUAAAUCUUCUUAGACUAUUUGAGCCUCGUUGUCCUUUGGAAUAUAAAUCGGUGCCGAAUAAAAGAAAAUGCCCCAUAUACGAGUUUGUUAUUGUUUCAAGCUUGCUAAAGAUUUCACUAAGCCCUUGUUUGAUCCCCAUUUCGGGGGAAAUAAUGCAUUUUGAAUAGUAAAUUGAUGGAGAAUGUGUUAUUAAAAAUUAAAGAAAAGUUUUGAAUUUAUGUAUAAUAUUAUUUUAUUGAAAAAUGAGUGGUGGAAAAUAAGUUUUGAAAAAUUGAAUUUUCAGAAGAAUGAGAAUCAAACAAGGGUUAAGUUAGAAUAUCUGAACUUAAUGUAUAUUAAUAGGAUUUAUUUUUGCGUGACAGGCAUAGCACAGUUUGUUAGUAACUUUGCCGAGCUUGGAGAUCCACAGAAUGCUCCACCUAUCUAGAGGGAUUCAUGUAAGAUUUAUUUGCCUUAAAUAUCAUGUAUCCACAUAAAAAAGACAUGCUUCCUUGGAGAAACUUUUCUUUUUGAUUUGUUGUCUUUACAUAUACGGGAAGAAGUUCUAUUUUUGUUUUAAGUAUCUACACAAGUUGGAUAAAAGUUAUCAAUAUUUGUCUGUCCCUUUUUUUUUUUUUUUAGGGUAACUUGAUUGUCCUUAUGUCACAUGGAGAAGCAUUUCAUAUGCUACUCACCCGUUAGAAAAAUUUAUAUUAAAUGAAUAUUACUUUGUGUCUAUAUCUUGAGGUUUAAUAUCUUUGUCAUCUAAAGUGACUUGGAUGCCGAUGAAUUCAUGGUCUAUAGAUAAUUGGUAUGGAAAAACUUUAUUUUUGGAAACUUUCUGGAAGAGUAUUGUUAGUUAGCAUAUAUGAUUUAUAUUAGCAAUAUUGAUGUAGUAAUAUUAGUUUUAAUUUCUUUCGUUGUUUUGUUGAAAAUUGAAGCCUAUGCGUGACUAAUGAUAUAGUGACGCUUUUGUUUUGUGAGAUGAGAAUUGCUCUUAUGCAUUAUGGUAAACCUCAUUGGGUUUUAGUUAGUAGACCGUUGGUACCAAGAGAGGAGCAAGCCCAAGUGUUCAUGUGGUUGAUAUAGAUAUCCCCUUAAGUAAUUUGGUUGUUGAUGUACAAAAAUUGGAGAGACUUGGAUUCGGGAGAGUUUCAUAUGAAUUUAGGAAGAACUAUUAUGAUUCAAGUACAUCAAUUGGAUACCAUGUUCGGUAUGCUUUGCCAAAAGCUCCAGUCCCAGAGGUCAUAUUUCAUAAUAUUCCAAACUUGAUAUUGUCUUUUUGCAUUUCUUUUGGUUGUUGUUGUUUGAGCUUCAUGAUUUUUAUAGAUUAAUGGUUGUUAAAAUGGAAAUAGGUUUGGAUUGAUUUCAAUAGAUGAGAAGCUUUCAUCAAUGAUGAUCAUGCCAGAACAUUUCUUUCAAUGGAAGGUACAACAAGAAGAUUAGCUGAGGUAUGACAGAAUUCAUUAUGCAUUAGAAGGGUUAUUUCAUACAAUUUCCUUAGUAAAGCUAUUUGUUUCGGUGACUUUUAUGAAUUUUUUCUUAAGUUUUCAAAUACAGAAUCUGAUAACUGAAAUCUGGGCCUUAGACUACAAAUAAGAAAUUUGUGCUACAAUCAAAUAUUAUGAAAUUUUGGACACACUAAUAUUUUGAUUGUGUAAUUAGUAUAAAAAUUGUAAAUACCUGAUGUGGUUAAUAUUUAACGCACUAAUAUUUUGAUAGUAUUACAAAUUUUUGGAUGAAUAUUUUACUUUACAUGUUCAUUGUUUGCUUUAGGUGCUCCUGUAUGGUGCAAAGGUUGUGCGAGCUAUUUUUUAGGAACAAUACUUAUUUUGUUCGGUGUAUUUGAAAUCUGACCGUGCUUCCUUGAUCUGGUAUGCAUUAUGAGGGAAAAGUGGGUUGACUUAUUGGAACCUGGAAAAGUCAUUAUAUAUUAUAGAGAUUGACAAGUGUAUUCUACCAAGGGAGCAAGUAUUUGUAAACUUCUAUCAUGCUUUGAAAAUCACUCAUAAAUCUUCUAAUGUAACAGUCUUAAUUUUGAUCAUACAUUUUCUUUGUUAAGAAUGGACUUCGUCCUUCCAAGUGAAUGCAACCAUUAAAUUAAGGCUCAAUGUCCAUUUUCGUUCAUUUCCCAUUGUCUUAGGAAGAAAACUUCAAUAAACAAAUGAUCUUUUACAUCUGCAUCCGCCAAUUUUAUUUUAUUUUAUUUUAUUGUUAUUUUUUUUUUCAACUCCUAUAUUUUACAUCUUUGCCAUUUGCCAUUUUCACGAGACCUUAAUACAAG